rnacentral:rRNA from 1 species
GAUGAACGCUAGCUACAGGCUUAACACAUGCAAGUCGAGGGACCGGCGCACGGGUGAGUAACACGUAUCCAACCUGCCCUUUACUCGGGGAUAGCCUUUCGAAAGAAAGAUUAAUACCCGAUGUAAAGGAUGGGGAUGCGUUCCAUUAGGUUGUUGGUGAGGUAACGGCUCACCAAGCCUUCGAUGGAUAGGGGUUCGUAGAGGAAGGUCCACCACAAUGGAACUGAGACCCAGUCCAAACUCCUAGGGGAGGCAGGAGUGAGGAAUAUUGGUCAAUGGGCGUUAGCCUGAAACAGCCAAGUAGCGUGAAGGAGGAAGGCUUAUGGGUCGUAAACUUCUUGUAUAUAAGAAUAUGUAUUAUAUGAAUAAGGAUCGGCUAACUCCGUGCCAGCAGCCGCGGUAAUAC